CAACAGAAGGAGGUUGGAACUAAGAUUGAGUGGUUCAAUCUAUGGAGUGUCCCAUCCAAACAAGUGGCAGAAAGAAAAGAGUGCUUCUUGACUCCUAUCAAAGUUCAUGGACAAAAACAGAAGCAAACACCUCAUGAUGUCAAGCUCAUGUUCUUCCAAUACCAAGCCUGUAGAAGAGGAUGGACCUAGGACUGACAGAGCCACAAGAUGGGGAAAGCCUCGGUUCCUGAAUCUCCACUGGGAAUAAAGCCACCCACCAAUCCAGGAUACACCCACAUUAUAGUGUUAUAUGAAUAACAAAGACACAAAUAUUAUGUUGAGUGACUGAAAUUUGGAGACAUUUGUUUUAGA